UACAGAGGUUGCGAGCGUUGUUCGGAUUUACUGGGCGUAAAGGGUGCGUAGGCGGCCUUGCAUGUCGGAUGUGAAAGCUCACGGCUUACCCGUGGAACGGCAUCCGAAACUGCAGAGCUAGAGUACAGGAGAGGAGAGUGGAAUUCUCGGUGUAGCGGUGAAAUGCGUAGAUAUCGAGAGGAACACCGGUGGCGAAAGCGGCUCUCUGGACUGUUACUGACGCUGAGGCACGAAAGCCAGGGUAGCAAAAAGG
rnacentral:rRNA from 1 species